ACCUAAACUUCAUGUGAUUGGUCGACGAAGCCAUCAGUCAAGACAGUCAGCAGCCAAGAUGGCGGAGGCUACGGGUAAAAGAAAAGAUAGCUUUUCAUACAAAAAGAUGACUCAAUAACCGUUCAGUCGUGGAUUUAUCUUUAUGAAAUGAUUGUGAGAAGUCACAGAAGUACCACGCCGGAUUACUAAACUUCUGGAAGGGCUACGGUUGCACUGAAGUCCUCUGCCCUUUGAAACGGCCAAGCUGUUAGCUGUCAGGCUAAAAACACAGACCAAGGCUAGGUUGAGUCAUAAUUAUUUAUUUAUUUUACAAAGAGAAUAUAAUGCUAUUCCAUGAUAGAUUAAAACGCUUCUGGAUGGCCUACAAUGGCAUUGAGGACUUCGUUGAAAUAGCGCCUUCUUCCGCUUCUAAACAAAAAAAUGAGUUUCUGGACCACAACUGAGAAGUUCCUUCACAUCAUUCAUGUCUUCUUCAUACUGUACUCACAGUAUACUCAUAGUAUUGUAUGUCAUGAUUUUUGUGCGUAAAAACGUAACUGUAUAGUAUGUCGAAAAAAAGUGAUAAAAAGCCAUAUUAUAGUACGUUGAAAAUAGUGAUAAAAAGCCAUAGUAUAGUAUGUCUAAAAAAGUAAUACAAAAAACAUACAUACAUAAAAAUGCAGUAAUAGUAGUAGUAUUAUGUGUUAUGUAAAAAAACAAAUCAAUGUAAAAGUCAUACAAAAUGUCUGAAAGUUAAACUGCAUUCCAUAAAAGUGGAUGUACAUUUUUUGGGUGUAAAACCUUUAAAUAAAUGAUCUGUCAGGAUGA